rnacentral:rRNA from 1 species
GUGACUGCGUACCUUUUGUAUAAUGGGUCAGCGACUUAUAUUCUGUAGCAAGGUUAACCGAAUAGGGGAGCCGGAGGGAAACCGAGUCUUAACCGGGCGUUAAGUUGCAGGGUAUAGACCCGAAACCCGGUGAUCUAGCCAUGGGCAGGUUGAAGGUUGGGUAACACUAACUGGAGGACCGAACCGACUAAUGUUGAAAAAUUAGCGGAUGACCUGUGGCUGGGGGUGAAAGGCCAAUCAAACCGGGAGAUAGCUGGUUCUCCCCGAAAGCUAUUUAGGUAGCGCCUCGUGAACUCAUCUCCGGGGGUAGAGCACUGUUUCGGCUAGGGGGCCAUCCCGGCUUACCAACCCGAUGCAAACUGCGAAUACCGGAGAAUGUUAUCACGGGAGACACACGGCGGGUGCUAACGUCCGUCGUGAAGAGGGAAACAACCCAGACCGCCAGCUAAGGUCCCAAAGUCAUGGUUAAGUGGGAAACGAUGUGGGAAGGCCCAGACAGCCAGGAUGUUGGCUUAGAAGCAGCCAUCAUUUAAAGAAAGCGUAAUAGCUCACUGGUCGAGUCGGCCUGCGCGGAAGAUGUAACGGGGCUAAACCAUGCACCGAAGCUGCGGCAGCGACACUGUGUGUUGUUGGGUAGGGGAGCGUUCUGUAAGCCUGCGAAGGUGGCCUGUGAGGGUUGCUGGAGGUAUCAGAAGUGCGAAUGCUGACAUAAGUAACGAUAAAGCGGGUGAAAAGCCCGCUCGCCGGAAGACCAAGGGUUCCUGUCCAACGUUAAUCGGGGCAGGGUGAGUCGACCCCUAAGGCGAGGCCGAAAGGCGUAGUCGAUGGGAAACGGGUUAAUAUUCCCGUACUUGGUGUUACUGCGAAGGGGGGACGGAGAAGGCUAUGUUGGCCGGGCGACGGUUGUCCCGGUUUAAGCGUGUAGG